UGCCAGCAGCCGCGGUAAUACGGAGGGGGCAAGCGUUGCUCGGAAUUACUGGGCGUAAAGCGAGCGUAGGCGGUUAAUCAAGUUGGUGGUGAAAGCCCAGAGCUUAACUCUGGAACUGCCAUCAAAACUGGUUGACUAGAGAUUGGUAGAGGAAAAUGGAAUUCCUAGUGUAGAGGUGAAAUUCGUAGAUAUUGGGAAGAACACCAGUGGCGAGGGCGAUUUCCUGGGCCAAUUCUGACGCUGAGGUUCGAAAGCGUGGGUAGCAAACAGGAUUAGAUA
rnacentral:rRNA from 1 species